AGCUUGUCUGAAGGCUAGUGAGUUAACUCAAUAGAUUAUUCACAGUUACAUAUUGAACUCCUUAUUCUAGUCUUUCCUCCCUUCUUACUACUACACUUGACUAACCUAGU
ensembl:misc_RNA Y_RNA Y RNA